GGGGCCGACUGGUAUUGACAGGUCGAGUGUUUAUGGGUAUAAGCAUGCAGGCUCAUGAGGUGAGAGCCUUGAAAGAUAGUCUCACACAAUAAUUGGCGAAGAAAACUACGCCAUGGCUGCCUAAUUAUAACUCUAGAGUUAUAAUUCCCGGCUUAAAGGGUUGAACUUCGUUCCCCGGCCAUCAUCCCGCGAUGCCUUUGUCUUGCUGGCGUCGAGCACGGGGUGUCGAAAUCGCAAGAAUAGCUUUGGUAAUGCCAUGUGACCAAAGUGAAACUUAAGUGGAUAAGGCUGUUAGUCGGUUUGCUACCGACCUGCUACAGCACGAAAAUCUAAAGAGUAGAUAAGCAUGUAGAAGGCUCACUAGGUACCUUCUCUGGACGAGGGUUCGAAUCCCUCCGGCUCCACAU
rnacentral:tmRNA from 1 species